CGGUGUUGAUCAAAGCAGGUCCUUUCGAGGGAAGGACAAAUUUAUCUGCAGUUCAGAUGGAUGAUUUCAAGCUUAUUCUGGGAUUGGAAUUUCUUCGGGAUACUAAGACAGCAGUGUUGCCAUAUUCCGAUUCGUUAAUGAUGAUGGGUAAUAAGCCGUGUGUCAUCCCUACACAGGUUGGGAGGAUGGGCGAGAAGAGUAUCUCAGCCAUGCAAUUUAGUAAAGGUUUCAAGAGAAGUGAACCCUCCUUUUUGUGUACUCUUCGAUUAGAGGAGGUCGAAGAGGCGAAUGGUCCUAUUCCAAAACCCGUUAAAAGGCUUAUUCGGGAAUUUGAGGACAUCAUGCCGGAAGAAUUACCAAAGAAAUUACCACCAAGAAGGACGAUUGAUCAUGAGAUCGAACUUAUUCCAGGCGCUAAAGCUCCCGCCAGGGCACCAUACCGUAUGUCUCAACCUGAGCUUGAAGAGCUUAGGAAGCAGUUGGGGGAAAUGUUGGAGAGUGGAAUCAUUGUGCCUGCAAAGUCGCCAUACGAAGCUCCUGUAUUGUUUCAGAAAAAGACUGAUGGCUCUCUUAGAAUGUGCUGUGACUAUCGAGCCCUGAACAAGAUUACUGUAAAGAAUAGCUAUCCUAUCCCACUGGUCGCAGAUUGCUUCGAUCGACUGAGUCGGGCGAAGUAUUACACAAAAAUUGAUCUCAGGUCCGGAUACUGGCAAGUUCGGAUUAAGGAGGGAGACGAAGCAAAGACUACGGUGGUAACCAGAUAUGGAGCCUUUGAAUUUAAGGUGAUGCCUUUUGGUUUGACAAACGCUCCAGCAACAUUUUGUACUAUGAUGAAUCAGGUACUUCACGGGUUCUUAGAUGAUUUUGUCGUGGUGUACUUGGACGACAUAGUAAUCUACAGCGAGACAUUGGAGGAACAUGUCCAGCAUGUGAGGCAAGUUUUUUAUCGGCUACGAGAGAAUGAACUUUAUGCUAAGCCGUCUAAAUGCUCAUUUGCUCAGACAUCUAUCAGUUUCUUGGGUCACAUCAUUGAACAAGGCAAAAUUUGCAUGGAUUCGAAGAAGGUUACAGCCAUCAAAGAUUGGCAACCACCAAAAACCGUACAUGAUGUACGUUCAUUUCUUGGGUUAUGCAAUUACUAUCGAAGAUUUGUGAAAGGCUAC
rnacentral:lncRNA from 1 species